GGAUGGCUCAGUUGGUUAGACUGUGGUGUUGAUAAUGCCAAGGUUGCAGGUUCAAGCCCCGUAUGGGACA